UGUGCGCGUAAAAUCUAUUACAAUAAUUUGAAUUUAAUCUCUAUUCUUUAUUGGCAAAUUAAUAACAGUAUGACGUUUGUUCGACUUACUUUGUGAAAUGAAUUUGCAAUGAGAGAUGAGAUGCGUCUGUUUGAAACUCUGCACCAAAAUAAUGUUUUGUUUGCUACAGAGUUGAAGGUUGAUGAUUUUCAUGGUAAUACUUCUCUGAACUCGUGUGAAUUUUUUUUAAUAAUAAUUUAAAAACUUGAUUAAUAAUUUUGAAAUUUUUACUUCUAGGUCCAUACCUUAGUACUUGCAAGAAGAGCAAAUUAUAUGUUAACCACACAAUUUGUACAGACGAGGUUCUUGAAUGGUAAGUUGGAUAUUGAGCGAAUCAAUUUUUUUUAUGUUUUUUAGUCUUUCACUAGAUAGAGAUUAGUAUUUUUUGUUCGAUUAAUUAUUCUAAAAAAAUCGUGCUCAUCUAGGUUUGUAGAAGACGUAAAUGUACAAAAGUCGAUAGCAUGGAACCGCACACAUAUAUGGAUUUUCGCUCCCACAGGCAUAAAUAAUUUCAAAUGCCAGGAGAAUUCGAAUAAACCAAUUUGCGUUUCGGGCCAAUGUAAACUAUUAUCGCUUUAUUGGCCGCAUUGAAAAAAUAAAUGGUGAACACCUAUGGAUUGAUUUAUGCAAUACAUGUUAUAACCAAUAAACCAAUUUGAAGAUCAGUGCAGCUGGUUUAUGUGUAAUCAUUGCGGACAAGAAAAUGUGCAAACUGUAACCAGAUAUAAUGUAAAGAUAGUCGUGAAAGACUUCACUGGCUCAAUGGAACUCUUGGUAAAGGAUACGAAGGCAGAAUUCAUCUUACAAUGU